GGGGAAUUUUGGACAAUGGGGGCAACCCUGAUCCAGCAAUGCCGCGUGCAGGAAGAAGGCCUUCGGGUUGUAAACUGCUUUUGUACGGAACGAAAAGGCUCUGGUUAAUACCUGGGGCACAUGACGGUACCGUAAGAAUAAGCACCGGCUAACUACGUGCCAGCAGCCGCGGUAAUACGUAGGGUGCAAGCGUUAAUCGGAAUUACUGGGCGUAAAGCGUGCGCAGGCGGUGCUGUAAGACAGGCGUGAAAUCCCCGGGCUUAACCUGGGAAUGGCGCUUGUGACUGCAGUGCUGGAGUGUGGCAGAGGGGGAUGGAAUUCCGCGUGUAGCAGUGAAAUGCGUAGAUAUGCGGAGGAACACCGAUGGCGAAGGCAAUCCCCUGGGCCUGCACUGACGCUCAUGCACGAAAGCGUGGGGAGCAAACA
rnacentral:rRNA from 1 species